UACGUAGGGGGCAAGCGUUGUCCGGAUUUAUUGGGCGUAAAGGGCGCGUAGGCGGUUCGCUAAGUUGGAUGUGAAAACUCUGGGCUUAACCCAGAGCCUGCAUCCAAAACUGGCGAACUGGAGUACUGGAGGGGAAAGCGGAAUUCCUGGUGUAGCGGUGAAAUGCGUAGAGAUCGGGAAGAACAUCAGUGGCGAAGGCGGCCUGCUGGGCUGUUGCUGACGCUGAGGCGCGACAGCGUGGGGAGCAAACAGG
rnacentral:rRNA from 1 species